GACGAACCACACAAACGUUAUUCGGAAUUACUGGGCUUAAAGGGUGCGUAGGCGGCGCGGAAAGUUGGGUGUGAAAUCCCUCGGCUCAACCGAGGAACUGCGCCCAAAACUACCGUGCUUGAGGGAGAUAGAGGUGAGCGGAACUUAGGGUGGAGCGGUGAAAUGCGCAGAUAUCAGGAGGAACACCGGUGGCGAAGGCGGGACUCUGGGCCGAUACUGACGCUGAGGAGCGAAAGCGUGGGGAGCAAACAGG
rnacentral:rRNA from 1 species